rnacentral:rRNA from 1 species
GAUGAACGCUGGCGGCGUGCCUAAUACAUGCAAGUCGAGCGAAUGGAUUAAGAGCUUGCUCUUAUGAAGUUAGCGGCGGACGGGUGAGUAACACGUGGGUAACCUGCCCAUAAGACUGGGAUAACUCCGGGAAACCGGGGCUAAUACCGGAUAACAUUUUGAACCGCAUGGUUCGAAAUUGAAAGGCGGCUUCGGCUGUCACUUAUGGAUGGACCCGCGUCGCAUUAGCUAGUUGGUGAGGUAACGGCUCUCCAAGGCAACGAUGCGUAGCCGGCCUGGGAGGGUGAUCGGCCACGAUGGAGCUGAACGACGGCCCAGAUUCCUACGGGAGGCAGCAGUAGGGAAUCGUCCGCAAUGGACGAAAGUCUGACGGAGCACGGCCGCGCGAGUGAUGAAGGCUGUCGGGUCGUAAAACUCUGUUGUUAGGGAAGAACAAGUGCUAGUUGAAUAAGCUGGCACCUUGACGGUACCUAACCAGAAAGCCACGGCUAACUACGUGCCAGCCGCCGCCGUAA